GCGGCAAUAGCUCAAUGGUAGAGCCCCGCUUCGCGUGCGGGGAUACCCGGGUUCGAUUCCAGGCUGCUUCC
rfam:Toxocara canis scaffold293, whole genome shotgun sequence.